UACGUAGGGUGCGAGCGUUGUCCGGAAUUAUUGGGCGUAAAGAGCUCGUAGGCGGUCUGUCGCGUCGGUCGUGAAAACUUGGGGCUUAACCCUGAGCUUGCGGUCGAUACGGGCAUGACUGGAGUUCGGCAGGGGAGACUGGAAUUCCUGGUGUAGCGGUGAAAUGCGCAGAUAUCGGGAGGAACACCGGUGGCGAAGGCGGCUCUCUGGACCACUACUGACGCUGAGGCGCGAAAGCUAGGGGAGCAAACAGG
rnacentral:rRNA from 1 species